CUCGGCGGAUGCCCUGGAGGCUGCCCCCAGCCCAGCACAGCUCCCUUUCCCCCCCCAGGGCUGCAGAGGGCCCCCUGUGGAUGCUGCUUCCAGCCCCACUUCUUCCACCUCCACUGGACCCUCAGCAACCAGCCUCCGCCGGCCACCCCCACGCUCAUCCACGGCGCCGCUGCUCCCCCGGGCCCUGCCCUCUGGGGCCUCAGGGGCUCUGAGACCCUCCCGGCCUGGGCAGCCCCCGCCAGCCUCCAGGGACAACCCACACAGCCCCCGCUGACACAGCGCCCAGCCUACGGCCACCAGGGCAGAGCGCUGGACGCAGCCCCCCCGCUCCUGAUGACCUCCGUCCCCGGCCUCCAGCACCUCCAGGGACCCUCCGCAUGGGCCAACAGCUCCAGCACGGCCACCCCCACCGAGACACCCCCGAGCAGCAACAUCCCCACAUCUCCUGAUGGCUCCUCAGACACCAGCACCACCUGGGACAGCCAAGCCCCCGAGGACCUCACAGAGGCUCAGCAGGUGCCUCUGCAAGAAGAGAUGAGGCUCUUUGACAGCUGCGGGGAGGUGGCAGGGGUCUCCCAGGCCAGUCCUGGCACCAGCCCCAGGCCUGGGGACCCUGGGGACACUGGGGCACCCGUCCCCCGCUGCAAUUUCCACUCCCUCAUUCCGCCCAAACAUCUAUGGAGAAUGAGGCAUGGCCUGGAGGAGGUGAGGGAGGCCGUGCGCUCCCUGGACAAACUCCUCCAGGAGAUGAAGUCCCAGGAGCUCUGGGGGGAUGUGGAGAGAGCGUCAUCCCCAGUGUCCCAGGAGCCCUGGGGUGACUUGGGGACAGAGACGUCCCUGGAGGGCCAGGAGUCGGGGGCAGAUGUGGGUACGGGAAGGUCAUCAGAGUCCCAGGAGACCUGGGAGGAUGUGGGGCCAGAGACGUCUUCUGAGUCCCAAGGGGCCUGGGGAGAUGCGGGGACAAUGAAGUCAUCUGAGUCCCAGGAGUCCUGGGGGGGUGUGGAGCGAGAGUCAUCACCAGCGUCCCAGGAGCUGUGGGGGGAUUUCGGGACUGAGACGUCACCUGAGUCCCGGGGGGCCUGGUGGGAUGUGGGGACUGACUCGUCAUCCGAGUCCCGGGGGGUCUGGAGGGAGUUGGGGACUGAGGCUCCUGAAGAGACCCAGCAGCCCUGGGGGGACCCUGGGAGGGAGCCAUCACCAAAGUCCCCAGAGCCCUGGGGGGACUUUGGGACUGAGACACCACCAGAGUCCCAGGG
rnacentral:lncRNA from 1 species